GAACGCGAAGAACCUUACCAGGUCUUGACAUUGAUGGACAGAACCAGAGAUGGUUCCUCUUCUUCGGAAGCCAGAAAACAGGUGGUGCACGGUUGUCGUCAGCUCGUGUCGUGAGAUGUUGGGUUAAGUCCCGCAACGAGCGCAACCCCUAUCUUAUGUUGCCAGCACUUCGGGUGGGAACUCAUGAGAGACUGCCGCAGACAAUGCGGAGGAAGGCGGGGAUGACGUCAAAUCAUCAUGCCCCUUAUGACCUGGGCUACACACGUACUACAAUGGGAGUUAAUAGACGGAAGCGAAACCGCGAGGUGGAGCAAACCCGAGAAACACUCUCUCAGUUCGGAUCGUAGGCUGCAACUCGCCUACGUGAAGUCGGAAUCGCUAGUAAUCGCAGGUCAGCAUACUGCGGUGAAUACGUUCCCGGGUCUUGUACACAC
rnacentral:rRNA from 1 species